AUUGAACGCUGGCGGCAUGCCUUACACAUGCAAGUCGAACGGCAGCACGGGUGCUUGCACCUGGUGGCGAGAGGCGAACGGGUGAGUAAUACAUCGGAACGUACCUUGUCGUGGGGGAUAACGCAGCGAAAGCUGUGCUAAUACCGCAUACGCCCUGAGGGGGAAAGCGGGGGAUCGCAAGACCUCGCGCGAUUAGAGCGGCCGAUGCCUGAUUAGCUUGUUGGUGGGGUAAAAGCCCACCAAGGCGACGAUCAGUAGCUGGUCUGAGAGGACCAUCAGCCACACUGGGACUGAGACACGGCCCAGACUCCUACGGGAGGCAGCAGUGGGUAAUUUUGGACAAUGGGGGCAACCCUGAUCCAGCAAUGCCGCGUGAGUGAAGAAGGCCUUCGGGUUGUAAAGCUCUUUUGUCAGGGAAGAAACACCGGCUCUAACACAGUCCGGGAAUGACGGUACCUGAAGAAUAAGCACCGGCUAACUACGUGCCAGCCGCCGCAGUAA
rnacentral:rRNA from 1 species